AAUGAUUUUCUUUACUGCAUUAUCAUUAAAAUAAAUAAAUUAUAUAUCGACUAAUUUUUAUGAAAAUAUGAAUUGCGACCAACAUUAAAACAUAAGUAAGAAAAUGGAAGAGUAAUUACGGAAUGGUGAUGGGCUUAACAACUCACUCAGGGCUAUGAUCUGGAAUUGAGUUCUAGCGGUAAUAGAAACCAUGUUGGCCCAAUUGUUGUCU
rnacentral:lncRNA from 1 species